GACGAACGCUGGCGGCGCGCUUAACACAUGCAAGUCGAACGGAAAGGCCUGCUUUCCCUUGUGGAUUGCGGGUACUCGAGUGGCGAACGGGUGAGUAACACGUGAGUGAUCUGCCCCCAACUUGGGUAUAAGCCUGGGAAACUGGGUCUAAUUCCCGAUAGGACUGCAGGGUGGUGCCUGUGGUGGAAAACGAUUUUCAAGUGGUUGGGGAUGAGCUCGCGGCCUAUCAGCUUGUUGGUGGGGUAAUGGCCUACCAAGGCGGCGACGGGUAGCCGGCCUGAGAGGGUGGACGGCCACAUUGGGACUGAGAUACGGCCCAGACUCCUACGGGAGGCAGCAGUGGGGAAUAUUACACAAUGGGCGGAAGCCUGAUGCAGCGACGCCGCGUGGGGGAUGACGGCCUUCGGGUUGUAAACUCCUUUCGACCGCGAGGAAGCCACCUGGUUGGAAGGGUGGUGACGGUAGUGGUAGAAGAAGCACCGGCUAACUACGUG
rnacentral:rRNA from 1 species